rnacentral:rRNA from 1 species
UAAAAAAAAUGUAACAAGGUCUCCGUUGGUGAACCAGCGGAGGGAUCAUUACCGAGUUUUCAACUCCCUAACCCUUCUGUGAACCUACCUAUCGUUGCUUCGGCGGACUCGCCCCAGCCCGGACGCGGACUGGACCAGCGGCCCGCCGGGGACCUCAAACUCUUGUAUUCCAGCAUCUUCUGAAUACGCCGCAAGGCAAAACAAAUGAAUCAAAACUUUCAACAACGGAUCUCUUGGCUCUGGCAUCGAUGAAGAACGCAGCGAAACGCGAUAAGUAAUGUGAAUUGCAGAAUCCAGUGAAUCAUCGAAUCUUUGAACGCACAUUGCGCCCGCCAGCAUUCUGGCGGGCAUGCCUGUUCGAGCGUCAUUUCAACCCUCGACCUCCCCUUGGGGGGGUCGGCGUUGGGGACCGGCAGCACACCGCCGGCCCUGAAAUGGAGUGGCGGCCCGUCCGCGGCGACCUCUGCGCAGUAAUACAGCUCGCACCGGAACCCCGACGCGGCCACGCCGUAAAACACCCAACUUCUGAACGUUGACCUCGAAUCAGGUAGGACUACCCGCUGAACUUAAGCAUAUCAUA